AGCCUGAUCCAGCCAUGCCGCGUGGGUGAAGAAGGCCUUCGGGUUGUAAAGCCCUUUUGUUGGGAAAGAAAAGCAGUCGGUUAAUACCCGAUUGUUCUGACGGUACCCAAAGAAUAAGCACCGGCUAACUUCGUGCCAGCAGCCGCGGUAAUACGAAGGGUGCAAGCGUUACUCGGAAUUACUGGGCGUAAAGCGUGCGUAGGUGGUGGUUUAAGUCCGUUGUGAAAGCCCUGGGCUCAACCUGGGAAUUGCAGUGGAUACUGGGUCACUAGAGUGUGGUAGAGGGUAGCGGAAUUCCCGGUGUAGCAGUGAAAUGCGUAGAGAUCGGGAGGAACAUCUGUGGCGAAGGCGGCUACCUGGACCAACACUGACACUGAGGCACGAAAGCGUGGGGAGCAAACAGGAUUAGAUACCCUGGUAGUCCACGCCCUAAACGAUGCGAACUGGAUGUUGGGUGCAAUUUGGCACGCAGUAUCGAAGCUAACGCGUUAAGUUCGCCGCCUGGGGAGUACGGUCGCAAGACUGAAACUCAAAGGAAUUGACGGGGGCCCGCACAAGCGGUGGAGUAUGUGGUUUAAUUCGAUGCAACGCGAAGAACCUUACCUGGUCUUGACAUCCACGGAACUUUCCAGA
rnacentral:rRNA from 1 species